rnacentral:lncRNA from 1 species
CCAUCCUCACCCUCCAUUCCUCUCCAUCACCUUUUCCUCUCUCUUUCUGAAAAAAUCACGCCGACAAAAUUUUUUUUCCCUUUUCUCCCGUUUUCGGCCGUGCGAUGGGUGUGCGCGGACCACACGGCGCCCAGCGGCAUCAUCCCCAAAUUGAUAAUUGGGGACGACGCCCAUACAAUUUUUGUCUUUAUUUAUGUGGUUUCGUAUUUUCUCACUUUAGCAUCUUGUAGUUUAAAGUGUAUCAAUUUAGUACCCUGUGAUUUUAUUUUUCUCUUUUCGUCAGCUUCAUCGUUAAUAUUUCGUUAAAUUAUAUAAAAAAAUCACUUCACAUACCCCACCUAAGUUUAUCGAAUAUUCACUUUAGUUUCUUUUCGUUUUAACUUUAUCACUGAUUUAACGAAAAGAAUUAGUGAAGAGAAUAAUAAAAAGAGAAAAAUAAAAUUACGGGGUAUUAAAUUGACACAUUUUAAACCACAGGGUAUUUAAAUAAAAAAAUGCGAAACCACAGAGGUGAUAUUUAAAAUUUUUUCUUAAUUAAUUAAUAUAUAUUUAUAAUAAAAUAAAGUAAAAUAAAAAUAUAAAACAUACAAUACUUACUAUCUAUUUUUUUAAUUUAUUUAAUUUAGAUUAGUCAGUAGUACUUUAAUUUGUUAAUCUAAAUUAAUUAUUUAUUUUAAUCAUAAAUAUAUAGUUACGAAAAUGGUAUGAAAUAUACUAACUAAACCUGAAAAGGCAAACGGCAUAUUUAAAUUUUAAAAUUAAAGUACUAUUGUUUGACUCAAAUUAAACAGAUUCAAGUAAUAAAAUUAAUAUUUCAAAGAUUGGAUAGGCUGUUUAAAAUGAUUUCUAAUUAAGAUAAAUUAUGUAUAUUUUUAUCUUGAAUAAAUUAUUGUGGGUUUCAUAAAUAGAAUUUGUGUCUCUAACUUUUUGAGUUUAUUAUUAUUGCUUAUAUACAUUUAUAUGGAAACAAAAAAAAAAAAAAACAGAAGAAGAAUGAGGGGUGAUUGAGAUUAGCUUUUUUUUUUCCUUUAAAAAUCUAGGUAAGUCGCAAUGUAUGCACUUAUNACAUUAAUUAUUAAUUAACGAGUAAACCUCCAAUACCAUUUAUUUGUGGGGGCAAAAAUCAAUGAGUCUUGUCCUCCAAACUAACAAACUAUCAGUUUGGGGAUGAUGCAGAUGGGCGCCGCGUAGCCCAUCCUCACCCUCCAUUCCUCUCCAUCACCUUUUUCUCUCUCUUUCUAAAAAAAUCACGCCGACAAAAUUUUUUUUUCCCUUUUCUCCCGUUUUCGGCCGUGCGAUGGGUGUGCGCGGACCACACGGCGCCCAUCGGCAUCAUCCCCAAAUUGAUAAUUUGGGGACCACGCCCAUACAAUUUUUGUCCUUAUUUAUGUGGUUUCGUACUUUCUCACUUUACCAUUUUUGUAGUUUAAAGUGUAUCAAUUUAGUACCCUGUGAUUUUAUUUUUCUCUUUUCGUCAGCUCUAUCGUUAACAUUUCGUUAAAUUAUAUAAAAAAACCCUUCAAAUACCUCACCUAAGUUUAUCGAAUAUUCACUUUAGUAUCCUUUAAUUUUAACUU